rnacentral:rRNA from 1 species
CCUACGGGAGGCAGCAGUGGGGGAUAUUGCACAAUGGGGGAAACCCUGAUGCAGCGACGCCGCGUGAGGGAAGAAGUAUCUCGGUAUGUAAAGCCCUAUCAGUAGGGAAGAAAAUGACGGUACCUGACGAAGAAGCACCGGCUAAAUACGUGCCAGCAGCCGCGGUAAUACGGAUGGGGCAAGCGUUAUCCGGAUUUACUGGGCGUAAAGGGAGCGCAGGCGGCGUGCCAAGUCUGAUGUGAAAUCCCGGGGCCCAACCCCAGGACUGCAUUGGAAACUGGCGGUCUGGAGUAUCGGAGGGGUAGGCGGAAUUCUUGGUGUAGCGGUGAAAUGCGUAGAUAUUAAGAGGAACACCCGUGGCGAAGGCGGCCUGCUGGACCAUGACUGACGCUGAGGCUCGAAAGCGUGGGGAGCAAACAGGAUUAGAUACCCGAGUAGUC